UCCGUAGGGUGCAAGCGUUACUCGGCAUUACUGGGCGUAAAGCGUGCGCAGGCGGUUCGCUAAGACAGAUGUGAAAUCCCCGGGCUUAACCUGGGAACUGCAUUUGUGACUGGCGGGCUAGAGUAUGGCAGAGGGGGGUAGAAUUCCACGUGUAGCAGUGAAAUGCGUAGAGAUGUGGAGGAAUACCGAUGGCGAAGGCAGCCCCCUGGGCCAAUACUGACGCUCAUGCACGAAAGCGUGGGGAGCAAACAGG
rnacentral:rRNA from 1 species